rnacentral:rRNA from 2 species
GCAGUCGAACGCGUUGGCCCAAUUGAUUGACGGUGCUUGCACCUGAUUGAUUUUGGUCGCCAACGAGUGGCGGACGGGUGAGUAACACGUAGGUAACCUGCCCAGAAGCGGGGGACAACAUUUGGAAACAGAUGCUAAUACCGCAUAACAGCGUUGUUCGCAUGAACAACGCUUAAAAGAUGGCUUCUCGCUAUCACUUCUGGAUGGACCUGCGGUGCAUUAGCUUGUUGGUGGGGUAACGGCCUACCAAGGCGAUGAUGCAUAGCCGAGUUGAGAGACUGAUCGGCCACAAUGGGACUGAGACACGGCCCAUACUCCUACGGGAGGCAGCAGUAGGGAAUCUUCCACAAUGGGCGCAAGCCUGAUGGAGCAACACCGCGUGAGUGAAGAAGGGUUUCGGCUCGUAAAGCUCUGUUGUUAAAGAAGAACACGUAUGAGAGUAACUGUUCAUACGUUGACGGUAUUUAACCAGAAAGUCACGGCUAACUACGUGCCAGCAGCCGCGGUAAUACGUAGGUGGCAAGCGUUAUCCGGAUUUAUUGGGCGUAAAGAGAGUGCAGGCGGUUUUCUAAGUCUGAUGUGAAAGCCUUCGGCUUAACCGGAGAAGUGCAUCGGAAACUGGAUAACUUGAGUGCAGAAGAGGGUAGUGGAACUCCAUGUGUAGCGGUGGAAUGCGUAGAUAUAUGGAAGAACACCAGUGGCGAAGGCGGCUACCUGGUCUGCAACUGACGCUGAGACUCGAAAGCAUGGGUAGCGAACAGGAUUAGAUACCCUGGUAGUCCAUGCCGUAAACGAUGAGUGCUAGGUGUUGGAGGGUUUCCGCCCUUCAGUGCCGGAGCUAACGCAUUAAGCACUCCGCCUGGGGAGUACGACCGCAAGGUUGAAACUCAAAGGAAUUGACGGGGGCCCGCACAAGCGGUGGAGCAUGUGGUUUAAUUCGAAGCUACGCGAAGAACCUUACCAGGUCUUGACAUCUUGCGCCAACCCUAGAGAUAGGGCGUUUCCUUCGGGAACGCAAUGACAGGUGGUGCAUGGUCGUCGUCAGCUCGUGUCGUGAGAUGUUGGGUUAAGUCCCGCAACGAGCGCAACCCUUGUUACUAGUUGCCAGCAUUAAGUUGGGCACUCUAGUGAGACUGCCGGUGACAAACCGGAGGAAGGUGGGGACGACGUCAGAUCAUCAUGCCCCUUAUGACCUGGGCUACACACGUGCUACAAUGGACGGUACAACGAGUCGCGAACUCGCGAGGGCAAGCAAAUCUCUUAAAACCGUUCUCAGUUCGGACUGCAGGCUGCAACUCGCCUGCACGAAGUCGGAAUCGCUAGUAAUCGCGGAUCAGCAUGCCGCGGUGAAUACGUUCCCGGGCCUUGUACACACCGCCCGUCACACCAUGAGAGUUUGUAACACCCAAAGUCGGUGGGGUAACCUUUAGGAGCCAGC